UACGUAGGCAGCGAGCGUUGUUCGGAGUUACUGGGCGUAAAGGGUGUGUAGGCGGUUGUUUAAGUUUGGUGUGAAAUCUCCCGGCUCAACUGGGAGGGUGCGCCGAAUACUGAAUGACUAGAGUACGGGAGAGGAAAGUGGAAUUCCUGGUGUAGCGGUGAAAUGCGCAGAUAUCAGGAAGAACACCCGUGGCUAAGGCGGUUCUCUAGUACGGUACUGACGCUGAGACGCGAAAGCGUGGGGAGCGAACAGG
rnacentral:rRNA from 1 species